GACGAACGCUGGCGGCGUGCUUAAUACAUGCAAGUCGAACGGAAAGGUCUCUUUCUGGGGGUACUCGAGUGGCGAACGGGCGAGUAACACGCGAGUAACUAGCCUUUGUCUUUGGGUUAACUACCGUAAACAGGGGGUAACAACUGCCAGGAGCUACUUCUGCACGGAGGGGGUUGGAAAGUUAGGGGGGUUUGGGGUUGACUAUCGGCGUAUCAGCUUGUUGGUGGGGUAUUGGUUUACCAAGGGCUUGCCGGGGAGCCGGCCUGUGGGGGUGACCGGCCACCUUGGCACUGACGUACGGCCCAGGCUCCUACGGGUGGCAGAAGUGGGGAAUCUUGCCGGAUGAGUGGAAGCCUGAUGCAGCAGCGCCGUGGGCGGGAUGACGGCCUUCGGGUUGUAAACCGAUUUCGCUCAUGACGAAGCUUUGUGUGACGGUAGUGAGUAAGAAAGCACCGGCUAACUACGUG
rnacentral:rRNA from 1 species